GUUGCUUUCUACAAUGCAUCAAAUAAUGCUUGUCAAAGUUCACAAAGUGUUUUUAUAAAGACAAAAAACAACGGUGAGACUCUUUCACCGAAAGAUAUCAUUUCAACUUAUACUGUUCCCAAUCACAUUGAAUGUUUCAAGAAAUGUCAUCAACAGAAGCUAUGUGUUGGCUUCAAUUUCUUAUUUGAUGCAAAAGAACAUGAGAUAAACUGCCAAAUUACUAACAUGACAACAAACAGCAAUUUAACGAAACUUGCC